CAGGGGUCGCUGGUGCGUGGUGAGCCGACCAAAGAAUAACAGCAAGCGGGGAAGCAGAAGUAUCAGAUCGUUCUCAUGACAAAAGUUUAGAAGCUUUGAUCCUGCUGGGAUCAUCCUGUUCAAAGCCCACCGAAUCUAUGCUAUAG